rnacentral:tRNA from 1 species
AAGAUGAUAGUAUACAAUAAAAAAAUAAUGCAUCUAGUUUCGACCUAGAAAAUGUAGUUCUCCUACUCAUCUUA